UGCCAGCAGCCGCGGUAAUUCCAGCUCCAAUAGCGUAUAUUAAAAUUGCUGCAGUUAAAAAGCUCGUAGUUGGAUCUUGGGCGCAGGCAGGCGGUCCUCCGCAAGGCGCGCCACUGCCCGCCUGGCCUUCCUUUCGGUCUCCGCCCGGUUCUCUUGACUGAGUGCCGGGUGCGGCCGAAACGUUUACUUUGAAAAAAUUGGAGUGUUCAAAGCAGGCCGCGCGCCUGGACAGCAGAGCAUGGAAUAAUGGAAUAGGACCUCGGUUCUACUGCGUUGGUUUUCGGAACUCGAGGUAAUGAUUAAGAGGGACUGACGGGGGCAUUCGUACUGCGGUGUGAGAGGUGAAAUUCUCGGAUCGCCGCAAGACGACCGACUGCGAAAGCAUUUGCCAAGAAUGUUUUCAUUAAUCAGA
rnacentral:rRNA from 1 species